UAAGUACUCCCUCCGUUCCAUAAUUCUUGUCAAAAUAUUACAUGUAUCUAGACGCUUUUUAGGAAUAGAUGCAUCAAUAUUUGGGCAAAUUUGAGACAAGAAUUAUGGAACGGAGGGAGUAGUCA
rfam:Brachypodium distachyon strain Bd21 chromosome 2, whole genome shotgun sequence.